UCUACAAAUGCUGGCACCCGAUUGAAGGAGACUCUCAUGACAGCUGGCUCACUGUUAAAGCUCGGCCAGAUGAAGACCAAAAGAAGAAGAGCGACAACAAGACGUCUUAGAUGUUCUCCGGCAACGCUCCACAUACAGGCCUAGUCACAUGCUCUCUGAUUGGUCAAUUAAACCAACCUGCUCUUAUAACAGCAGACUGCAAUACUUUCUGUGUUUGUUUCUGUGUUCUGCAUCAGAUUAAAAGCUACUUGUGCACCUGUAAACACACAUUACUCAACUGUUCCUAUGUCUUCUCCAACACCUGUUUUAAGAUUUACCAAACAUCUGUGGUAUAAUGUGUCAACUGUUGAAGCAAAUAAGUUGUUUUGAGACUAAACUAGUAAAUAAAACUUGGUGGUAACAUUUGUAUUAAAAAAAAUCCAUUGAAGUUCCUUUAUUCAGAUAAAUUCUGUUUAAAUAAGUUUGGAGAAAUGCUGCAUAUAAAUUACUUUUUUUAUUAUUAAAUUUACUUUAAUUAAGUGAAUGGAAUUAGUACAAUCAACUUAAUUGAAUCAAGUUACCUCAACAAUAAAUAUUUAUUACUUCUACUCAAAGUAAAUAUAUUUCAUGCUUAAAUUGUUUGAUUUAAAUAAACUUGAGUGGAACUAACUCA